rnacentral:rRNA from 1 species
UACGAAGGGGGCUAGCGUUGCUCGGAAUUACUGGGCGUAAAGGGCGCGUAGGCGGAUAUUUAAGUCGGGGGUGAAAGCCCGGGGCUCAACCUCGGAAUUGCCUUCGAUACUGGAUAUCUUGAGUUCGGGAGAGGUGAGUGGAAUGCCGAGUGUAGAGGUGAAAUUCGUAGAUAUUCGGCGGAACACCAGUGGCGAAGGCGGCUCACUGGCCCGAUACUGACGCUGAGGCACGAAAGCGUGGGGAGCAAACAGG